GAUGAACGCUGGCGGCGUGCCUAAUACAUGCAAGUCGAGCGAACGGACGAGAAGCUUGCUUCUCUGAUGUUAGCGGCGGACGGGUGAGUAACACGUGGAUAACCUACCUAUAAGACUGGGAUAACUUCGGGAAACCGGAGCUAAUACCGGAUAAUAUUUUGAACCGCAUGGUUCAAAAGUGAAAGACGGUCUUGCUGUCACUUAUAGAUGGAUCCGCGCUGCAUUAGCUAGUUGGUAAGGUAACGGCUUACCAAGGCAACGAUGCAUAGCCGACCUGAGAGGGUGAUCGGCCACACUGGAACUGAGACACGGUCCAGACUCCUACGGGAGGCAGCAGUAGGGAAUCUUCCGCAAUGGGCGAAAGCCUGACGGAGCAACGCCGCGUGGGUGAUGAAGGUCUUCGGAUCGUAAAACUCUGUUAUUAGGGAAGAACAUAUGUGUAAGUAACUGUGCGCAUCUUGACGGUACCUAAUCAGAAAGCCACGGCUAACUACGUGCCAGCAGCCGCGGUAAUACGUAGGUGGCAAGCGUUAUCCGGAAUUAUUGGGCGUAAAGCGCGCGUAGGCGGUUUUUUAAGUCUGAUGUGAAAGCCCACGGCUCAACCGUGGAGGGUCAUUGGAAACUGGAAAACUUGAGUGCAGAAGAGGAAAGUGGAAUUCCAUGUGUAGCGGUGAAAUGCACAGAGAUAUGGAGGAACACCAGUGGCGAAGGCGACUUUCUGGUCUGUAACUGACGCUGAUGUGCGAAAGCGUGGGGAUCAAACAGGAUUAGAUACCCUGGUAGUCCACGCCGUAAACGAUGAGUGCUAAGUGUUAGGGGGUUUCCGCCCCUUAGUGCUGCAGCUAACGCAUUAAGCACUCCGCCUGGGGAGUACGACCGCAAGGUUGAAACUCAAAGGAAUUGACGGGGACCCGCACAAGCGGUGGAGCAUGUGGUUUAAUUCGAAGCAACGCGAAGAACCUUACCAAAUCUUGACAUCCUUUGACAACUCUAGAGAUAGAGCCUUCCCCUUCGGGGGACAAAGUGACAGGUGGUGCAUGGUUGUCGUCAGCUCGUGUCGUGAGAUGUUGGGUUAAGUCCCGCAACGAGCGCAACCCUUAAGCUUAGUUGCCAUCAUUAAGUUGGGCACUCUAAGUUGACUGCCGGUGACAAACCGGAGGAAGGUGGGGAUGACGUCAAAUCAUCAUGCCCCUUAUGAUUUGGGCUACACACGUGCUACAAUGGACAAUACAAAGGGCAGCGAAACCGCGAGGUCAAGCAAAUCCCAUAAAGUUGUUCUCAGUUCGGAUUGUAGUCUGCAACUCGACUACAUGAAGCUGGAAUCGCUAGUAAUCGUAGAUCAGCAUGCUACGGUGAAUACGUUCCCGGGUCU
rnacentral:rRNA from 1 species